CAAUAGCGUAUAUUAAAGUUGUUGCAGUUAGAACGCUCGUAGUCGGAUUUCGGGGCGAGCCUUCCGGUCUGCCGAUGGGUAUGCACUGGUCGGGUCGUCCUUCCUUCCGGAGACCGUCCCUACUCUUAACUGAGCGGGGGCGGGAGACGGAAUUUUUACUUUGAAAAAAUCAGAGUGUUUCAAGCAGGCAGCUCGCUCUUGCAUGGAUUAGCAUGGGAUAAUGAAAUAGGACUUUGGUGCUAUUUUGUUGGUUUCGAACACCGAAGUAAUGAUGAGAAGGGACAGUCAGGGGCACUCGUAUUCCGCCGAGAGAGGUGAAAUUCUCAGACCAGCGGAAGACGAACCACUGCGAAAGCAUUUGCCAGGGAUGUUUNCACUG
rnacentral:rRNA from 1 species